rnacentral:rRNA from 1 species
GAAAUUUGGACACUGGGCGAAAGCCUGAUCCAGCUAUGCCGCGUGCAGGAUGAACGCCUUCGGGUUGUAAACUGAUCUUGUCAGGAAAGACAUGCUUAGGGUAAAUACCCUGGAGUUCUGAAGGUACCGCAAUCAUAAUCCACGCCUAACUUCCUGCCCGCUACCGUGGUAAUACGUAGGGUGCAAGCGUUAAGCGGAAUUACUGGGCGUAAAGCGUGCGCAGGCGGUUUUAUAAGACAGAGGUGAAAUUCCCGGGCUCAACCUGGGAACUGCCUUUGUGACUGCAAGGCUAGAGUACGGCAGAGGGGGGUGGAAUUCCGCGUGUAGCAGUGAAAUGCGUAGAUAUGCGGAGGAACACCGAUGGCGAAUGCAACCCCCUGGGCGUGUACUGACGCUCAUGCACGAAAGCGUGUGGAGCAAAC